GUCUGGCUGGCUCAGUUGGUAGAGCAUGUGACUUUUGAUCUCAGUGUCUUGAGUUCAAGCCCCACAUUAGGUG
rnacentral:tRNA from 1 species